AACUAAUGAUUUCUAAAAGUUAUUGUUUUUGUUUUCCUCAUUUGCUCUUGAAACCCUAACAUCUAUUUCCUUUGCAAUCGAACAAACACAUUUUCAUUUACAACACAACCAUACUUUUUGCUCCCCUUAUGUCUGGCUCAUUACCUGCUCCACUGUACCAAAGAAGAUAUGUCCCAUCCCUCUUGCUCUACACUCCACAAGUCUCUUUCUACUAUGUUAUCUUUUCAAAAUCUCUCCAGAUCUACGACGAUAACUUCUUCUCCCAACUACAACGUCUGCUCAAUCUUCCUGUUCUUCUUCGUCGUUGUUUCAUCUUCACAUACGCCACCAUCUGAAGGUAUGUUCCAAGGAGCAUUUUAAACUGGUGGUAUUCGACAAGAACGUGAGUUUGUUAUUUCCUGAAAAACGAUUAUUUGAGAUUAUAUUUUGAUUUUGUGCUAACAUUCUUGGAUUGUGACUGAUUUCUGUGUUCGUGAUGUUGUUAAACUCUGAGUUCUGAGUUCUUAAGCUCUCAUCGCAUUUGUGAACCGACAUCCACCAUUUGAGUUCUGAAUAAUCAUACUUGCUGAUUCAAUGACAGGUUUUUGCAGAGAGGAUGUUCGAGGAAGAAAUUGGUGGUUUGAAAGUGAAGAAAUUGGGUCCCUCUAUAUGGUAUCAAGAUGCAACAACUUCUCCAAAACUACGACAUCCGUAAUGAAACCCUAAAAGAUGUCGCUUAGUACAUGCUAAAAGCAAUGGUUUUAGAUCUUGAAGGUUUAGGUUGGCUAUUCCAAAGCUUAUUGUACAUGGUAUGGUUUCUGCUGUGAAAGAUAUUUUAGAGCAGGCACCAUUAAAUAAGUUUGUUGAAAGCAUGGUGAAGUCUUAGUUAUAGUCUGAAAACAACUCUCGGUAGCAUGGUUUCUCACUUGGCUCUUUGAAUUAUUGGAUUAGCGCGACAUCGACGAAUCUGCGGACAUGGAAAAUAAUAGCGUUCCCUCCAAGGACAUGGAACCACGGUGUCGACGAAUCCGUCAUCCAAGAAAUCCCAACGUACCAGGCAGCGAUGAUUAUCAAAGUGUCAAAGGUUGUGCAGAUUUGUAAGCUAUUUCCAUUGUAAAAGCCAUAACAUUUUUUAAGUUUUAAAUAUGCGUAAAAUGUCGACUCCUUUUUGAGAAAAGACAAAUAUGAUUAAGUAUUAUUUAAGCGGAUCUGACUGUUGUGGUGGAGCUUUUGAGACAAAUCGGUGGCAACUGUGG